CUGGAGCGGUGGAGGCUCACUGGAGGUGGAUGGCCGGAAGGCCGGCAUGCUUAGGAGGCGGGGGUCAGGCGGCGGCGGGGCUGCGGUUCGUUCAGGGAAGGCAGAGAAGAAGGAACGGAUAAAGGAUCCCAACGGCCUCGACUGAGGACGGAGCUCGCGAGGUGGGAGGGGACCUGCUCUAGCGCAUCUCCUGUCUCCUUGAUGGCGGAUGGUUCUUGAUGGCGGAGGAUUUGGCCGGUGGGUGGUCGCUCAGCUUGGAGCCAAGAAGGGUGCACUACGGGGCGAUGGCGGGGCGGCGAGGCCAUGCCCGAGAAAGAUAUGUCCACUGCCGUGCACACUCCAGUCCUGCAGAUUCAGGUAGAUAUGAUAUUUCCACGUAGGAUUUGGAUGUUUAGCAGAUUCUCUAACAGCGAGCAACCACCAUUGUGUUUGUGAACUGCAGGACGAGGAAGAGGGCGGCAUCAGGCAAAAAUCAAGAAGGCAACAUUUGAAAUCCUUUGUGCCCUCCUCUCUGGUGGCUGGUGACUUUCUACCUUCGUCAGGUGUCCGGGAUUCCUAGCAUCCAUGAACAUUGCAGCCCAUAGGGUUUCGAUGUCCAGAAGAUUCUUACACGGUCGCCAUUGGCGUUCAUGGUGCUCAUGGAUGAUGCAACCCUGCUCCUCGCCAUGCCUAGGAGAGGGUGUUGACAAGUUGAGCCCUCAAUUGUUGGAUGUUACUACCAAAAUUGAUCCAUGUAGAGCACCACCUGCAGGAGUUUUCUUAUAUAAUGACCCACAAGUACUUCUUAGGCAGUAUGAUCUAUGAGCUGGAUGGAAAAUCUGAUCUAAAUGAUUAGCAAGACCGUUUGGACUGAAUAAUGUUCCACGUGAGAUAAAUAGCAUAGUGGUGAGGAUGUUAUUUCCACUCAGCGAAAUGGUUCAGCAACUGUGAAAUCUGCUGCUUUGAUGAAACAAAGAGAGGGUACUGUAAUCGUCCCAACUUGUAAGAGAGAAGGCUUGGUUUCUCCGAGUCGCCAUGAUAGAUCAAUUUAUUCCAGCCACUGUGGAUAUUAAUACGAUGCACAUUUUUUUGGCAUAGCAAUCAUUGGUGUCAACCUUUUUCUUGAUAUUAAUAAUUGAUAGUGUAUUUACUCCUAUUGCUAUAUUCUGGACUGUGAUAUCUUUGUGGCAAGAAGAUAAUGGCAAGUUUUUAAAGCACUGGUUAGUGAUAAGAACACAAAUAUUCCAAUUUUCAGUUAACUGACAAACUAUGAUUUCUAUUAUUUGUUGAAGUGAUAUAUGAUUGCUAGCUGAAUAUUCAGUGCUCAUAGAACAUCGUUUCAUCCGUGGAUAUAGUUCAUCAUGUAUAAAUCACUUCAAUUACACAUUUUCUUUUGUCAUUUCAAUGAUUGUCGUACUGCUAUUUUCAGUCUGCUGCAAUCCAUAUGCAUAGUCAGCUGAUUCUCUUCUUUACAUUUGUGUCUGCAAAAUAUGGUGUAAAUCAUCCUAUUGAACUCGUCCUAUAUAAUUAAGACAUGUGAUUUGAUAUUUUUACAGCUAUUUGUUCUGAUAUAUAGAGUCAAGGCUUGCUAAGAACUGCUAUUAUAGCUGAUUCUGAUACAAUAACACAACAAAACUUCUGAGAAAUUUAUAUGUAGUGGCUGAUUCAGUGAUAGUACUAAAUUGUACAUUGUAGUACUUGAUAUACAUGAUGUACACAUGUGCAGACUUUAAUAGACACAUACAUCAUGAGCAGAUAAAGUUCAGGCUACCAUUAAGUAGCAUAUUAGCCUCUUAUGUUCUUUUUGUUUGAUAACCUAGAACAUAAUACUUCUUAAUGUUCUUGAUUCACUUUGCCCAAGAUAUAUGUAGUGCUUCACCAUGAAAAAAAAACCUGGUUUACUUAUUAUGCACAAAGUUGAUUUAUUUGGAUUGAUCCAGAAUAACAAUAUGAAAUUUUGAUGAUUUAUAAUUUCUGAACUGCACUCUAUUCUGCAUUGUAGUUUAUUUGCAGAGAAUGGUUUUGUGAUCUUUGGUAUUAGUUGAAGAGAAUGCUAAAGCAUAUGGAAGAGUGGUACCUAUAAUCAUGGGAUAUUGUGGUUUAAGCUUGCUUGAAUCUUGUUCCAGCCGAAGAGUAACACUUCCGAAAGGCUUUGAUUUUUAUUUUUUUUGGAGAACUGAGUCGGUGAAUAUGAAGGAUUCUGAUCAGUUACUCCAGUACUAUUUCUAUGCAUUUUGUUUCUUACUAAAAAUAAAACCUGCCCAGCUCACUUAUGCACAUGUAUCCCUAUUGUUAUUCUACAUAAUUGAGUUUGUGAAAUAGUUGGUGAUGUUUAGUGUGGUGGCCACUCAGAACUGCUCCAUAUAGUUUACUUUUGGAUUAAAAGGGGGAUCAGGGGUUGUUGAAGAACUUUACCGCUACUAUCUGCUUGAAGUUACAGAGGGAAAUGGACUUCCUUUGAUGACAUUAUGACAAACUAUUGUUUUCCUACUCUAUAAAGCUUUUCGGCAUAGAAAUAGAAGACCGCAU